UACAGAGGUGGCAAGCGUUGUUCGGAAUUACUGGGCGUAAAGGGCGAGUAGGCGGCCUUCUAAGUCAGACGUGAAAUCCCCCGCUUAACCUGGGAACUACGUCUGAUACUGGGAGGCUAGAGUAUGGGAGAGGAAGGUAGAAUCCAGGUGUAGCGGUGAAAUGCGUAGAUAUCUGGAGGAAUACCGGUGGCGAAGGCGGCCUUCUGGACCAUAACUGACGCUGAUCCGCGAAAGCUAGGGGAGCAAACGGG
rnacentral:rRNA from 1 species